UACUAUUUUGUAGACAAGCUUUAAUGUGAAUAAAAAAUCCAAGAGGAAUUGUUUCAUACUAAUGGGCAUCAGGUUUCGAACCUUUAAGUACAAGUUGACAAAGAAAUAUAUAUUGUCUUUCAAGAAUGACCAGAAAAGCUGAAAAAGUCACCUCCUAUUUACCCAUUCAUACAAGAGGAUCAUUGGAGACAGUUUGUUAAAGAUAGACUUUUUGAACAUUUUAAUGUUAAGCAUUAUUUUUAUUACAUCUUCAAUUUUCACAUUUACGUAGUUUCAUCAUGUACUAAUUUUGUGUCUAUAUUUUGUAGGAAUAUCGCAAAGUUCAUAAAUCAAGAAGAGAUAAACACAUUUACAAUCAUUAUCUUGGAAGAAAAUGAUAUGCACGUUUUGAGCAAGAUAUACUACAAGCAAAAGGGGCUAUUGGUAGGGUUGAUAGAAGUGUUUAUGAAAGAAAACACGUGAGAAGAAAGGAAAGUUUAAUAAGAUUACAAAGCCAAUGAUUAACAUGAUAGAUGAAUUACUAGAAAAGGCAAGGAGACUGGACUACCUCCACCUGGUCCAAAUGACAUAUUAUGUUAAGCAUUGGGUACAUGCAUGAUCAACUACAUAUUGCCAAAAAUGAAUCACAAUUUAUAUUUGUUAAUCCGUUUACAAUAUCAUGAGCAGCUUUAGUAAUCCUCAAAUAGAGAAAAGAACACAAUUGUUGUCAAAACACUUAAUAGAGUGUCAAAAUGCCGGAUAUGUUUUCAUGCCCUACACCCCAACUUUCAUUGGGUCUUGGUAGUGAUUGAGCCAAGGAAAAUGAUAGUCCACUAUCUUGACCGUGUGCAUCACAAACCAUGUGAGGACUUACAGGAUAUCGUAAACAUUGUCCAAGACAAGAAGGAGGGUUCGAAUGUGACUACUUUGUUAUGAGAUUCAUUAAAGAGAUAAUUUUUUAUCCUACAAUUAUUGCU